GUAAAAGAAACCAUUAUUGGCUUUUUAGUUAAUUUUUAAUUAUUUCAAUUUUUUUAGUUUUUAGGUGGAAUUUAUAACUACAAUUAUAAUAUUAUUUAUUAUUAUGAUACUAUGAAACUUAUGAUAAAAACAAGGAUUAGAUACCCUUUUAUUUUAAGUGUUAAUUUUUGCCUGGGUAGUAAUAGUUAUGUUCUUGAAACCCAAAGGAUUUGGCGGUAUUUUAGUCUUUUCAGAGGAACCUGCUCCUUAAUUYGACAUUCCMCGAUUCAAUUUACUUUUGUUUGUAAUAUCAGUUUGUAUAUCUCCGUCAUAAGAGAAUCUUUUUAGAGUAAAUWUUCUUUUCCUUUWAAUGAGAAUAUGUCAGGUCAAGGUGCAAUUUAUGCAAAAGUGGAGGUGGGKUACAAUAUAUGUAUAUACACGGAUUAAUAAUUUUAUAUUAUUAUUAAGGUGGAUUUGGUAGUAAAAUUAAUUGUKAAUUAGAUGAUNGGGCUCCAAAGGG
rnacentral:rRNA from 1 species